rnacentral:rRNA from 1 species
GACGAACGCUGGCGGCGUGCUUAACACAUGCAAGUCGAACGAUGAAGCUGGAGCUUGCUCCGGUGGAUUAGUGGCGAACGGGUGAGUAACACGUGAGCAAUCUGCCCUCGACUCUGGGAUAACUGCGGGAAACUGUAGCUAAUACCGGAUACUUUAACUGGAAGGCAUCUUCUGGUGAAGAAAGAAUUUCGGUCAAGGAUGAGCUAGCGGCCUAUCAGCUGGUUGGUGAGGUAACGGCUCACCAAGGCGACGACGGGUAGCCGGCCUGAGAGGGUGACCGGCCACACUGGGACUGAGACACGGCCCAGACUCCUACGGGAGGCAGCAGUGGGGAAUAUUGCACAAUGGGCGCAAGCCUGAUGCAGCAACGCCGCGUGAGGGAUGAAGGCCUUCGGGUUGUAAACCUCUUUUAGCAGGGAAGAAGCGAAAGUGACGGUACCUGCAGAAAAAGCACCGGCUAACUACGUGCCAGCCGCCGCCGUAA